UCGCGAUAGCAAAGGACGAGAAUUGGUGCGAAUCCCCCGGCUGCCCCAGGAAAGUGGCGGAGGCGAGCAGUGCCGAGUCGCGCGCGCUGCCGCGAGUCUGGCACACGGGACGCCCGGGAGCCAAACCUUGUGCCCGUGAGCGUCUAGGAAGAGUUCGCUGCCGUCUGGACGAGUACCGAAGCUGGUCUAGUUCUACGAUGCCUCCGUGGCUCGCAACGUGGUCUGUUGACUACCGGGUCUGCGCAAUGGGAGGGAGGCAAGGGAGACCCGAACAGACGUCAUCGCGAGAACUGAGCGGCUGCGCUCUUCCAAUCAGGAGUCCGGGGCGGUGGUGACGUCACCGGGAGCGGGUGUUAGCGAGCGGGUUUGGGUAGAUGGCGGCUGUAAAUAGAGCGCGCGGGGUACGCUCGCGGCGCGGGGCAAGCCCGCCGCUGGGAGGCCCUUCCGUCUCGGUCGUCUUAGGGCAGUGUAGACCUGGAGUACCUGGGCAGCACUUUAGCCUCCAUCCGGGCAUUCCACCCUCCUCCCACGCGGCCCGCCCAGCCCGGAGAAGGGGAGAAAACCGCCCCAGGGCUGUGAGAACCGGCGACCGUAGGGCCUGCGAGAUGGGAUCCUUCGGGCCUUACGCUGAAGCCACGCCAAGAGUUUUGGCUAAAACGAGAAGCGCCAAAAUGAACUAACGCGUGUCGUGUCCCGAGUGCGUUUGUUCGUUCGUCAGAUGGUGAAUGAGCGCGAACUGUCCGAGCUCCUGCCAGGCGGGGUGGCCUAGAAGUCAUCAGACGAUUCAUUACCUUAGAAAGAAAUCAGUUUCUCUGGGUCAGAAAUUUAGCAGCAUUGUGUGUGGCUGAGUGCUACUGGCCAGGAGUCUCCCAUGAGCCUGCAGUCACCGGAAGAUCUGGCUGGGGCAAGAGGAACCACUUCCAAGAUGACUUAAUCCAGCGUCUCUGGUUGUUGACAGGGGGCCUCAAUCCCUUACCAUGUGGGCUUCUCUUCAGGCUGCUUAAACAGUCUCAUAACAUGGUGUCAAGCCUUCCCCAGAAUGAGCACAGGAAAGCAAGGUAGAAGCUUCGAUGACAUUGAUGGCCCAGCCACGGAAGUUACACACCAUUUCAACAACAUUCUGUAGUCACACAGGUUAGCUCUAUUCAUUGUGAGAAGGGUUGACAGAGAAGUGGAUCAGGAGGCCAAUGUAAUUGGGGAGUACCAUUUUGGAGGCUGGCUACCACAGUAUUAGAACACAUCUGCUGGGUUUUCCUCAAUUCUUGAAAUGUACUAGCUAAGGAAUCACGACUACGAAAUAAUUUUUUUUUUAAGAUUUAUUUAUUUAUUCAUGAAAGAGAGAGCAAGAGAGAGGCAGAGACACAGGCAGAGGGAGAAGCAGGCUCCACGCAGGGAGGCCAACGUGGGACUUGAUCCCAGGACUCCAGGAUCAGGCCCUGGGCCGAAGGCAGGUGCUCAACCACUGAGCUGCCCAGGUGUCCCAGAAAGGAAAAUUUUAGAUGCUUUUCCAACUUUCUCUUUUUCAGCUGUUCUGAUCCCUUCCCGAAUUAAGAGCACACAUAGCGGCUUGUCUUCCAUGUGACACUCCUUUUCCUUCCCCAUACACCAGGCUCCAGCUGGAGUGGCCUUCUCAAUAGUCCCUGAAAGCACUGCUCCAUCCAUGUGCAUCCAUCCAUCCAUCCUCUCUGCUGAGAGGGCCUUUCUUAUUCUCACCUGAGAAACUGCAGCACACUUGAAGACCCGUCUCAAAUGUCACCUCCUCAAUGAAACCUGACAAGAAAUCCCUGUUCUGCCAUACUUAGAUUUUUGUCUCAGUUAUAACAAUGUCAUUUUGUCAUUUUGUCAGUACAUGCUAGUUAUUUGUAUGCUUGUCAGUCUUCCUACAAGUCCUUCCAAGACAGGGACCGUCUUUAGACAGUGCCUAGUGCAGUGCUGAGCGUAAAUAGCUCAGCAAAUAUUUGUUGGGUUAGGGUAAUGGCUAUCGUGUUCUUUACAGUGUUAAUGGGCAGUGGUGCUUAUUUUACCACCAUGUGGCAACAAACUAUGGAAUUAUUUCUACCUUUGAAUAAGGAGUUCAGCCAGGAUGAAUAUUCACCAAAUUGUAGUCUGUGGUUUUUUGGGGAGUAGAAUUACAGGAGGCCCUCAUUUUCCAUGCUAUUUCGGCAUUGUUUGAAUAAUAGUAUGUUUUUUCAUGUGGGAUGUAGCACUCAUACAGGAAAUAAGUAUUUACAAAGAAAUUUUACCUUAUUAACUUCCUACCCAAAAGUAUGUUAGAAUAACUUGUUGACUCAAAUUAGUUAAUAUACAAAUAGAAUACAUUCAAAUAGAAGAUUACUUUGUGAAAAUUGAGCAAUUUUAUUCACACAGUGCUCAGUACUGCACUAGGCAGUAAUCCCAACUCUGGAAUAUGUUGGUAUUUUGAUAGGGAUCGCAUUAAAUCUAUAGAUUGCUUGGGUGGUAUGGACAUUUUAAUAAUAUUGACUUUUCCAAUCCAUUAGCAUGGAAUAUCUAUCUAUUUGUGUCAUCUUUAGUUUCUUUUAUCAGUGUUUUAUAGUUUUCAGAGUACAGGUAUUUCCUUGGCUAAGUUUAUUCAUAGGUAUUAUUUUUGGUGUAAUCAUAAAUGGAAUUGUUUUCAAUAUCGUGUUUUUAAAAUUCAGCAUUAUUGCUGCUUAUGCCUUUUAAAUCAAAAAACCAAAUAUUUAAAAGAAAAUUUAAGUCAGGAAUGAAGUAAUAAGGAAAAAUAUUUAUAAAAUAAUAUGACCUAAAAAAAAAUGAAAAUAAAUAAAUAAAUAAAAUAAUAUGACCUAAAAAUAUUGGAACAGAAAAUUAUGUAUACAUUAUGUUUACAACUUCAUAAAAAUAUAGAUACUGUGAAUAAGGGUUGGAAGAGAAUGUGUUUGGAAAAGUAGUUUAUUAAGCUGGUAAGAUUGAACAUUUUUUCUUCUUAAACUGCCUUUAAUGUUGUAACACUGGGUUAAUAAACUUUUCUUUUAAGGCCUGUUUUUGUAAUCACCAAAAAGUUAACAUUUUUUACUAUUUGAA